AUGAGGCCAUUCUACCUGCCACGGGAGUUCACACACGUUAUAAUAAUUGCUGUGUACGUCCCACCCUCCGCUAACGCUGACACAGCUUCUGAGACCCUGCUCUCAGUCACCAGCAGGCUGCAAACACAGCACCCACAGGCCCUCUUCCUGAUCUCUGGGGACUUUAACCAUGCACCUCCUUCAGCUGCUCUGCCUACAUACACCCAGUAUGUGACCUGCCCCACCAGAGACAAUAAAACACUGGACUUAUUCUAUGCCAACACCAAAGAGGCCUACGCUGCAUCCUCCCUCCCACCGCUGGGCAGAGCUGACCACAACAUCCUGCAUCUCCUGCCUGUGUAUAAACCUGUUGUACACAGGCAGCCGGUGGUGCCCCGCACAGUGAAGAGGUGGACAGCUGAGAGCGAGGAGGCUCUCAGGGACUGUUUUAACACCACUGUGUGGACGGAGCUCUGCGACCCACAUGGGGAGGACAUUAACGCAAUAACAGACUGUGUAACGGACUACAUAAACUUCUGCUGUGAAAACACUGUUCCCACCAGGCGGGUUCGGUGUUUCACCAACAGCAAGCCAUGGGUCACCCCUGAUAUUAAAGCUCUGCUAAAGGAGAAGAAGAGAGCAUUUAAAUCAGGGGACAGGGAGGAGCUGAGGAGGGUGCAGAAGGAGCUGAGGAGGAAAAUCCGUGAGGGGAAGUCCAGCUACAGGAGGAAGAUGGAGGAGCAGCUGCAGCAGAACAAUGUGAGUGAGGUGUGGAGGAGCCUGAAAACCAUCUCAGGCUUCAAAGCUCCACACCCACAGGCUGAGGGGGACCUGAGCUGGGUCAACGAGCUGAACUCACACUUUAAUAGGUUUGACCAAGCACCCACUCACACCUGGGGACUGGGAGUGGGUGGGUCGACCCUGGUCAGACUAUUGGAAUUGAGGGUUUUAGUGUGUUGUUUUUUGUUGUUUUUUUUUGUUGUUUUUUUUUUUCUUUCCUCCCCCCAUUUUAAGGCCUGUGGUUUGUAUAAGCCUGUGUACAUAGCCCGAGUUAACUGA
rnacentral:lncRNA from 1 species